UAGACAGGAGCCUGAAGGAUUGGGCACUUAGCUGUUAACUAAGGAGUCAUGGGAUCGAAGCCCAUCUGUCUAG
rnacentral:tRNA from 1 species